UACGUAGGGUGCAAGCGUUAAUCGGAAUUACUGGGCGUAAAGCGUGCGCAGGCGGUUGUGCAAGACCCGAUGUGAAAAUCCCCGGGCUUAACCUGGGAAUGGCAUUGGUGACUGCACGGCUAGAGUGUGUCAGAGGGGGGUAGAAUUCCACGUGUAGCAGUGAAAUGCGUAGAGAUGUGGAGGAAUACCGAUGGCGAAGGCAGCCCC
rnacentral:rRNA from 1 species